GUGGGAUUGGUCUCUGCUGCCCCUUUCAGGGAACAUCUAUGCCUCAUGUUUGAUGCCUCAGCUUCUGCUCCUGGCCAGCCACAGCUUGUGUUCUCUGGACACCUGGGACCUGAUCUCCUUUGACACUUCACAGAGAGCAGCUGCUGGGAGAGACUUUCUGGCUCUGAUUCUAGCACUCCUAGCACAAGGUCCUGGGAUGGCUUUCCCAGGAUCCUGGCAGAUCUGAAGGCCAGGCAUCAUGGC